AACAAGGUUUCCGUAGGUGAACCUGCGGAAGGAUCAUUAAUGAAUAAAAGGGUGCUCUCUUAACUGAGAGGCCUGACCUUCAUUCUUCUACACUGUGAACUAUUUUUUGAAAGAGAAACUCUACGAGCUGCGCUGCAAAGGGAAUUGAGAAUCUCUUUUCAACACUUUUUAAACUCUAUCAAGUCUAAGAAUGAAUAAAAACCAAAAUAUAAAGAAAAACUUUCAACAACGGAUCUCUUGGCUCUCGCAUCGAUGAAGAACGCAGCGAAAUGUGAUAAGUAAUGUGAAUUGCAGAAUUCAGUGAAUCAUCGAAUCUUUGAACGCACCUUGCGCUCGCUGGUAUUCCGGCGAGCAUGCCUGUUUGAGUGUCAUGAACUCUUCAACCCUUCGGUUCCUUGUUGAACUGUGAGGUGUUUGGAUUUUGAAUGUUGCUGGCUUUCCUUGGAAAGCGAAGCUCGUUCGUAAUACAUUAGCAUCUUCUGAUUAUUGAUUCGGAUUGACUUGGCGGUAAUAGACUUUUAUUCGCUGAGGACACUCUUUCAUUAGAGUGGCCGAACCUACCAAAGUUGAAGCUUCCAAGAGCAGUCUACUAUUUUAUAAGAUUAGACCUCAGAUCAGGCAGGACUACCCCGCUGAACUUAAGCAUAUCAAUAAGCGGAGGAAAAGAAACUAACAAGGGUUCCCCUAGUAGCGGCGAGCGAAGCGGGAAGAGCUCAAAUUUGUAAUCUGGCACCUUCGGUGUCCGAGUUGUAAUCUCGAGAAAUGUUUUCCGCGCUGGACCGCAUACAAGUCUGUUGGAAUACAGCGUCAUAGUGGUGAGAACCCCGUACAUGAUGCGGAUGCCCAGUGCUUUGUGAUACAUUUUCGAAGAGUCGAGUUGUUUGGGAAUGCAGCUCAAAUUGGGUGGUAAAUUCCAUCUAAAGCUAAAUAUUGGCGAGAGACCGAUAGCGAACAAGUACCGUGAGGGAAAGAUGAAAAGCACUUUGGAAAGAGAGUUAACAGUACGUGAAAUUGUUGGAAGGGAAACGCUUGAAGUCAGACUUGCGUAUUGGAGUUCAGCCGCAAGGCGUAUUCUUCAGUUUGCAGGCCAGCAUCAGUUUUCGGGGGUGUAAAAGGGUGAGAGGAAGGUAGCAACUCCGGUUGUGUUAUAGCUUCUCACUGGAUGCAUCUUUGGGGACUGAGGAACGCAGUGUACUUUUUGCAAGACUUUCGAGUCUUUCUACACUUAGGAUGCUGGUGGAAUGGCUUUAAACGACC
rnacentral:rRNA from 1 species